ensembl:rRNA 5S_rRNA 5S ribosomal RNA
AUCAGCCUGAAGGCGCCCGAUCUCGUCUGAUCUCGGAAGCUAAGCAGGGUCGGGCCUGGUUAGUAUCUUGGAUGGGAGACCACCUGGGAAUCCCGGGU